UCGGCUUCUCAUGGGAGGGUGGCUCAUCCCCUGAUGAAAGGGGGUGAGGCGUAUGACAGUGUUUGAAGCGUUGACGCUCAUGAUUGCGUUCGGCACUUUGGUUUAUAUGCUGUCAAGACGCAAAUAGACCUCCCUUGAGUAGGUAGCUCAAAAAGGGAGGUCUACUCCUUUGUAAGAGCCGCCCCCUUUAAAGGGGUACGGUCUAUUGCGAGACCAUAGGUGUAGCAGCACCU
rnacentral:sRNA from 1 species